rnacentral:lncRNA from 1 species
UUUUGGCUGUGAAUAUCCAUGCAUCCUGUAAUAGACUUAAAAACACUUUUGACCCAGAAAUUUCUUUAAUUUUAGAAAGUAAACGACAAUCUUUAAUAUAUAAGACAAUAUUGAAUCUUAAAGUUUUUGAAUUCUGAGACAUAAAACCUUACAUUUAUAUAUCGGAAAACUGAUGUGACAGUCAUAUAAAGCCAUAGUGUAUAACAUGACAGUCGUCUUGUGUAAAAAGGCACAUCAAUUGCCGGGAACAGUAAGAUUUAAUGCCUUAAACAUUAAACAUUGAAGUUAACUUUCUAAAAUUAGGAAAGUGACAUCUCAAAAAUUGUUUUUAGUUAAGCCACAUGCAUCAAUGUGCAUGUGUGUUUACAUAUAGAGUACUACCAGCUGCUUUGUGUUGCUACCAAGGGAGAGUAGGGGCCGGAGCAAAAUGUCAUCCACCACAGCCGGCACCACAUUUCGCCGCGCAUCCGGCGCCGCCAUAAACACCUGAAUCUGCUGCAUCACCAGAUUUGUCCCUUGAUGCACCUUCUGCACAAAUGAAAAUUAUAGCCGAAAUCAUGGAAAUAACUACAAUAACUGCCCAAAACAUCAGAAAAACAUCACCACCACCAUCACCACCAUAUUCUCUAGCCAUCAUAAUUUAAUUUUAUUCCUCUAUCAGUAGGCAUGCACUAAUAGAGCCUUCUUCUUAUAGGGUCUCCAAAGGUCAAAUUUACUUCCUUAUGUAGUGAAACAAAGGGGCCAAAUUUAUUUCAAC